rnacentral:rRNA from 1 species
AGGUAUGCUGGAGGUAUCAGAAGUGCGAAUGCUGACAUAAGUAACGAUAAAGCGGGUGAAAAGCCCGCUCGCCGGAAGACCAAGGGUUCCUGUCCAACGUUAAUCGGGGCAGGGUGAGUCGACCCCUAAGGCGAGGCCGAAAGGCGUAGUCGAUGGGAAACAGGUUAAUAUUCCUGUACUUGGUGUUACUGCGAAGGGGGGACGGAGAAGGCUAUGUUGGCCGGGCGACGGUUGUCCCGGUUUAAGCGUGUAGGCUGGUUUUCCAGGCAAAUCCGGAAAAUCAAGGCUGAGGCGUGAUGACGAGGCACUACGGUGCUGAAGCAACAAAUGCCCUGCUUCCAGGAAAAGCCUCUAAGCAUCAGGUAACAUCAAAUCGUACCCCAAACCGACACAGGUGGUCAGGUAGAGAAUACCAAGGCGCUUGAGAGAACUCGGGUGAAGGAACUAGGCAAAAUGGUGCCGUAACUUCGGGAGAAGGC